UCUAUUUAAUAAAAAAAACACUUGCCCAAGAUCUGGAAUUACGCAGUGUGUUGGAAUUGCUGGAUCUAAGAAGAAUAUGAGAUCUUUCUGCUACGCAUAAGUUGCAUUUCUUAGAUCCACUAACAUAUGGUUUGGAUUUCUCCGCUAUGCUAUUCA